rnacentral:tRNA from 1 species
GGGCCCGUAGCUCAGCGGUAGAGCAACGGACUUUUAAUCCGAUGGUCGCGGGUUCGAUCCCCGCCGGGCCUCCCA